GGUUACUGGACUGACCCACCAAAGGAAUGAAGAGGUGAAGCUCAGAGAAGCCUAAUGCCACGUGGCUGAAACUUUGGAAGAAUCAAACUCAGGCUUGUGACAGCUAAAACACACUUACCACGUCUUUUAAAUGUAAAAACAGAGAGUGAGAAGGAAGAGGAGGGAGGAAAGGACGGAGAACAUUUCUUCACAAUCACCGUGAUGGAGGAAUCACACAUCAUCAGGAAGCUCGAGAAUGAUGAGUAAAAUCUGAGACUUCUGGACAAUACAGGACACACACAAAUAAUGGAAAAGACACUCAAAUAAGGUGGAAACUAAGUAAACAAUUGAAACGUGGAGUCAGAUGCCACUGACAGCCUAAGAAAGCCAAGUAGCCCAGCUUCCCCAUGGGGUUGUCCUCGGCUUUGGUGAGGGGAAGAAGCAGGGUCUGUCCUGGACACUUGUUCCUGGGCUCAGGGCCCAAGUGUUUGAUGCACAGCUUCCCACUCUUUCAAUGGAGGUGCACCUAUUGUCUCCUCAGCCAAAGACUCAGGAUCAUGAAUAACUCAUAGUAAACUCACUGGGGGGUUGUAGGCAUGGAUUUUUUGUAAACACCAUAAAAGGUCCUUGAUCCAAAAGGCUCUGCACUCAGUGCAUUACAUGUACUUUCUAUUCUCCCCAGGCCCUACCCCACCCCUACAUCAGCCCAUUAUAAUUCUUAAAGAUUUUGUGCUCAAGCCAGGGGCCCGAGUGGGGGCAUUUACCCUCCAUAUAGUGCAAACAUACACAAAGAACAAUUGACCACCAUAUAACAUAACACUUUGUAGGGUUUUCAAGCUUACAAAUAUCAGACUAAUUUUUUUUUUUUUUUU
rnacentral:lncRNA from 1 species